CUGGAAAGUUAUGAUCUUUUAAAAAAAUGGGCAGGCAGUUUGGAUGAUCUUUGGUCAUGCGAGCUGGACAUUGUCUCCAGACUGAAGAGCCUUUUCUGACAUCCUCAUUUGUUCUGCUGUGUAAUAGCAUGGGAUCUUUCAGAGCUGUCGACAUCUGCUGCACUCUAGAGAGCUGCAGAACCGAGCCAGCAAAGCAAUAAUAAUUAUGCCCAAAUGGACUGCAAAGGAUGUAAGAGAUAAGAAGGAAGACCAGAAAAAAAUACACUCGAUGCAAUGGUG